rnacentral:rRNA from 1 species
UACGUAGGGCGCAAGCGUUAUCCGGAAUUAUUGGGCGUAAAGAGCUCGUAGGCGGUUUGUCGCGUCUGCCGUGAAAGUCCGGGGCUCAACUCCGGAUCUGCGGUGGGUACGGGCAGACUAGAGUGAUGUAGGGGAGACUGGAAUUCCUGGUGUAGCGGUGAAAUGCGCAGAUAUCAGGAGGAACACCGAUGGCGAAGGCAGGUCUCUGGCUCGACCCUGACGCUGAGGCGCGAAAGCGUGGGGAGCGAACGGG